rnacentral:misc_RNA from 1 species
AGGAUCAUUACAGCGAAGCGGCGCGAGCCGCCUUUCGAACCACCGCGUACCGAACCCCCCACGUUGCCUCGGCGGGCGCCGGGCGCCCCGCGCCCGCCCCGCCGAACGGCCCCCCAGCAAGACCCCUUCCGUCGAGAUGGCGUCGUCUGAACCCUCCGGGGAAAACGUUUGAAACGAAAAACACAGCUUUCAACAAUGGAUCUCUUGGCUCCGGCAUCGAUGAAGAACGCAGCGAAACGCGAUAGCUAGUGUGAAUUGCAGAUUUCAGUGAAUCAUCGAGUCUUUGAACGCACAUUGCGCCUCUUGGUAUUCCUCGAGGCAUGCCUGUUCGAGCGUCGUUACGCCCCUCAAGCGCGAGCUUGGUGUUGGGGACCGCCCCUGAGACACGGCGGCGGCCCCGGAAUGCAUCGGCGGUGCUGGUCCCAGCCCGGAGCGCAGCAGACAUGCGGCUCCGCGGGCGGGGCCGGCGCCCGCCGGACAAACGACGAGACCCCUCCACAAGUCGACCUCGA